rnacentral:rRNA from 1 species
AGUGAACGCUGGCGGCGUGCUUAACACAUGCAAGUCGAACGAGAACGGGUUAUAGCUUGCUAUAAUUGUCAGCUAAGUGGCGCACGGGUGAGUAAUGUAUAGGUAAUAUGCCUCUUACUAAGGGAUAACAAAUGGAAACGUUUGCUAAUACCUUAUACUCCUUAUUAACAUAAGUUAAUAAGGGAAAGAUUUAUUGGUAAGAGAUUAGCCUGUAUUGUAUCAGUUAGUUGGUGGGGUAAUGGCUUACCAAGACUAUGACACAUAACUGGUUUGAGAGGAUGAGCAGUCACACUGGAACUGGGACACGGUCCAGACUCCUACGGGAGGCAGCAGUGGGGAAUAUUGCACAAUGGACGAAAGUCUGAUGCAGCAACGCCGCGUGGAGGAUGACACAUUUCGGUGCGUAAACUCCUUUUAUAUGAGAAGAUAAUGACGGUAUUAUAUGAAUAAGCACCGGCUAACUCCGUGCCAGCAGCCGCCGUAA